AGAUCAAGGCUCCUCCGGAAAAUGUCUUUUUAACCACAUAGGGUCCCUCAUAGGUUGGUGACCACUUGCCCCGGGGGUCGUUUUGGUUCAGCAGCACUUUCUUCAGUACUAGGUCCCCGGGUAGGAAUUCCCGUGGGCGUACGUUUUUAUCAAAUGCUCUGGCCAUUCUCCUCUGAUAUAAUUGCUCGUGACAUGCUGCUGUUAACCUUU
rnacentral:misc_RNA from 1 species